rnacentral:rRNA from 1 species
AUACGUAGGGAGCGAGCGUUGUCCGGAAUUACUGGGCGUAAAGGGCGCGUAGGCGGCGCUUCAAGUCGUCUGCCAAAUGGGAGGGCUUAACCCUUUUUCGCAAACGAAACUGGAGAGCUUGAGAAGCAGAGAGGCAAACAGAAUUCCUGGUGUAGCGGUGAAAUGCGUAGAUAUCAGGAAGAAUACCAGUGGCGAAGGCGGUUUGCUGGCUGCAUACUGACGCUGAAGCGCGAAAGCCAGGGGAGCAAACGGGAUUAGAUACCCCGGUAGUCCUGGCAGUAAACGAUGUAUGCUGGGUGUGAGACUAGCGAUAGUUUCGUGCCGAAGUUAACGCGAUAAGCAUACCGCCUGGGGAGUACGGUCGCAAGAUUGAAACUCAAAUGAAUUGACGGGG